AGUACCAGCAGUACCAGGACG
rnacentral:misc_RNA from 1 species